rnacentral:lncRNA from 10 species
ACCAAAUAUUCCUGAAUAAUCCAUAUAAUAAGAGGAAUAUAAUGAUAGGAUUCAUGGCUGGAGAUUUUAUUAACCUGUAUAUGUGUGAGCAACUGUUUACCAUACAUCUCUCACAGAGUUGAUCCAGGUGGGUUUUACCCCUUUGGUUAGAAUGAACGUUCUGUUCCAUAACAUACAUGCCCAAUGACAUGGUCCACACUGACCCAAUUAUUUAAACUCUUGGAUUUUCCUUUGACCCUCUAUUAAAUAAACACAAACCUAUCAUAUUAUUAUUUUUUAAUUUUCAGGUUUGAUCAUUACAUUAUUAUUUUCUGGC